rnacentral:rRNA from 1 species
UUUAUGGAGAGUUUGAUCCUGGCUCAGGAUGAACGCUGGCGGCGUGCCUAAUACAUGCAAGUCGAGCGAACGGACGAGAAGCUUGCUUCUCUGAUGUUAGCGGCGGACGGGUGAGUAACACGUGGAUAACCUACCUAUAAGACUGGGAUAACUUCGGGAAACCGGAGCUAAUACCGGAUAAUAUUUUGAACCGCAUGGUUCAAAAGUGAAAGACGGUCUUGCUGUCACUUAUAGAUGGAUCCGCGCUGCAUUAGCUAGUUGGUAAGGUAACGGCUUACCAAGGCAACGAUGCAUAGCCGACCUGAGAGGGUGAUCGGCCACACUGGAACUGAGACACGGUCCAGACUCCUACGGGAGGCAGCAGUAGGGAAUCUUCCGCAAUGGGCGAAAGCCUGACGGAGCAACGCCGCGUGAGUGAUGAAGGUCUUCGGAUCGUAAAACUCUGUUAUUAGGGAAGAACAUAUGUGUAAGUAACUGUGCACAUCUUGACGGUACCUAAUCAGAAAGCCACGGCUAACUACGUGCCAGCAGCCGCGGUAAUACGUAGGUGGCAAGCGUUAUCCGGAAUUAUUGGGCGUAAAGCGCGCGUAGGCGGUUUUUUAAGUCUGAUGUGAAAGCCCACGGCUCAACCGUGGAGGGUCAUUGGAAACUGGAAAACUUGAGUGCAGAAGAGGAAAGUGGAAUUCCAUGUGUAGCGGUGAAAUGCGCAGAGAUAUGGAGGAACACCAGUGGCGAAGGCGACUUUCUGGUCUGUAACUGACGCUGAUGUGCGAAAGCGUGGGGAUCAAACAGGAUUAGAUACCCUGGUAGUCCACGCCGUAAACGAUGAGUGCUAAGUGUUAGGGGGUUUCCGCCCCUUAGUGCUGGAGCUAACGCAUUAAGCACUCCGCCUGGGGAGUACGACCGCAAGGUUGAAACUCAAAGGAAUUGACGGGGACCCGCACAAGCGGUGGAGCAUGUGGU